rnacentral:rRNA from 1 species
GACGAACGCUGGCGGCGCGCCUAACACAUGCAAGUCGAACGAGCAAAGAGGAGCUUGCUUCUCUGAGCGAGUGGCGAACGGGUGAGUAACGCGUGAGGAACCUGCCUCAAAGAGGGGGACAACAGUUGGAAACGACUGCUAAUACCGCAUAAGCCCACGGGUCGGCAUCGACCAGAGGGAAAAGGAGCAAUCCGCUUUGAGAUGGCCUCGCGUCCGAUUAGCUAGUUGGUGAGGUAACGGCCCACCAAGGCGACGAUCGGUAGCCGGACUGAGAGGUUGAACGGCCACAUUGGGACUGAGACACGGCCCAGACUCCUACGGGAGGCAGCAGUGGGGAAUAUUGCACAAUGGGGGAAACCCUGAUGCAGCGACGCCGCGUGGAGGAAGAAGGUCUUCGGAUUGUAAACUUCUGUCUACAGGGACGAACAAAUGACGGUACCUGUAAAGAAAGCCACGGCUAACUACGUA